rnacentral:sRNA from 1 species
AUUUAGAGGAAGAAGAGGAAGAAGACGAAGAAGAAGAAGAAGAGAGAGGAAGAGGUGGCGGCGGUUCUAGACGGAAGA